rnacentral:rRNA from 1 species
AUGUCGCGGCUUGUGUCCUCCGUGUUCUCCCAGUCGAACGAGCGGAACUUCUCCGACGGCUUGAUGACCUGCUUCUUGGGCUUCUUACACCCCAGGUACUGCUCCUUGAUCGCCUCCAGCUCCUUCUCGCGCUCCCGCUCCGCCAUCCUCUCCAGCCGAUCUUUCUCCCUGUUCCGGUCCCCGCGCUCCCCGUCUCGGUCCUGCUCCCGCUCCCUGUGGCGGUCGCGGCCGGGGCCUCGCUCCCUGAUCCCCUCCCUACCCCUCUCCCGGCAGGAAGAGUCAUAUCGGUCGCGGUGGAGGUCGUGGCAGCGGCCUCUGUCCCGAUCCCGAUCGGAAGAGUCGCGAUAG